rnacentral:rRNA from 1 species
UACGAAGGGGGCUAGCGUUGCUCGGAAUCACUGGGCGUAAAGGGCGCGUAGGCGGCUUUGUUAGUCAGGCGUGAAAUUCCUGGGCUCAACCUGGGGACUGCGCUUGAUACGGCAAGGCUAGGGUGUGGAAGAGGGUCGUGGAAUUCCCAGUGUAGAGGUGAAAUUCGUAGAUAUUGGGAAGAACACCGGUGGCGAAGGCGGCGACCUGGUCCAUUACUGACGCUGAGGCGCGACAGCGUGGGGAGCAAACAGG